rnacentral:ncRNA from 2 species
AUGACCCCACACGGGAGCCCGGGCACGGGCUGAGAGGAAGCUGACGCGGCUUCGACCGUCGAACCUGCUCCGGUUCAUACCGGCGAAGGAAGUGAGAGCUCGAUGCCU